AACGAACGCUGGCGGCAUGCCUAACACAUGCAAGUCGAACGAGACCUUCGGGUCUAGUGGCGCACGGGUGCGUAACGCGUGGGAACCUGCCUUUAGGUUCGGAAUAACUCAGAGAAAUUUGAGCUAAUACCGGAUGAUGUCUUCGGACCAAAGAUUUAUCGCCUUUAGAUGGGCCCGCGUUGGAUUAGCUAGUUGGUGGUGUAAAGGCCUACCAAGGCGACGAUCCAUAGCUGGUCUGAGAGGAUGAUCAGCCACACUGGGACUGAGACACGGCCCAGAAUACUACGGGAGGCAGCAGUGGGGAAUAUUGGAAAAUGGGCGAAAGCAUGAUCCAGCAAUGCCGCGUGAGUGAUGAAGGCCUUAGGGUUGUAAAGCUCUUUUACCCGAGAUGAUAAUGACAGUAUCGGGAGAAUAAGCUCCGGCUAACUCCGUG
rnacentral:rRNA from 1 species